rnacentral:rRNA from 1 species
UACGAAGGGGGCUAGCGUUGUUCGGAAUUACUGGGCGUAAAGCGCACGUAGGCUGACUUUUAAGUCAGGGGUGAAAUCCCGGGGCUCAACCUCGGAACUGCCUUUGAUACUGGAAGUCUUGAGUCCGAGAGAGGUGAGUGGAACUCCGAGUGUAGAGGUGAAAUUCGUAGAUAUUCGGAAGAACACCAGUGGCGAAGGCGGCUCACUGGCUCGGUACUGACGCUGAGGUGCGAAAGCGUGGGGAGCAAACAGG